GAUGAACGCUGGCGGCGUGCCUAAUACAUGCAAGUCGAGCGAAUGGAUUAAGAGCUUGCUCUUAUGAAGUUAGCGGCGGACGGGUGAGUAACACGUGGGUAACCUGCCCAUAAGACUGGGAUAACUCCGGGAAACCGGGGCUAAUACCGGAUAACAUUUUGAACCGCAUGGUUCGAAAUUGAAAGGCGGCUUCGGCUGUCACUUAUGGAUGGACCCGCGUCGCAUUAGCUAGUUGGUGAGGUAACGGCUCACCAAGGCAACGAUGCGUAGCCGACCUGAGAGGGGGAUCGGCCACCCUGGGACUGAGACACGGCCCAGACUCCUACGGGAGGUAGCAGUAGGUAAUCUUCCGCAAUGGACGAAAGUCUGACGGAGCAACGCCGCGUGAGUGAUGAAGGCUUUCGGGUCGUAAAACUCUGUUGUUAGGGAAGAACAAGUGCUAGUUGAAUAAGCUGGCACCUUGACGGUACCUAACCAGAAAGCCACGGCUAACUACGUGCCAGCAGCCGCGGUAA
rnacentral:rRNA from 1 species